GACGAACGCUGGCGGCGUGCUUAACACAUGCAAGUCGAACGGAAAGGCCCUGCUUUUGUGGGGUGCUCGAGUGGCGAACGGGUGAGUAACACGUGAGUAACCUGCCCUUGACUUUGGGAUAACUUCAGGAAACUGGGGCUAAUACCGGAUAGGAGCUCCUGCUGCAUGGUGGGGGUUGGAAAGUUUCGGCGGUUGGGGAUGGACUCGCGGCUUAUCAGCUUGUUGGUGGGGUAGUGGCUUACCAAGGCUUUGACGGGUAGCCGGCCUGAGAGGGUGACCGGCCACAUUGGGACUGAGGUACGGCCCAGACUCCUACGGGAGGCAGCAGUGGGGAAUAUUGCACAGUGGGCGGAAGCCUGAUGCAGCAACGUCGCGUGCGGGAUGACGGCCUUCGGGUUGUAAACCGCUUUCGCCUGUGACGAAGCGUGAGUGACGGUAAUGGGUAAAGAAGCACCGGCUAACUACGUG
rnacentral:rRNA from 1 species